GGAUCGAACCCGGGCAGCCGCGGUGGGAAGUCAGCGACUAACCGCUUCAGUUAUGGCGCGGCCAGGGUACCGUUUCGAUAUCAGCCUCGGUGACGAAGGGUUUCAGGGAAUGUCAUUCUUAUGUUCACGAAGAAGGGCUUAGAAGGAAGCGGUCGUGACGUAAUCGAUACAUUUUUCCGGCAUUUCCUGCUAACGUGCUAAUCGGUUUAUACCUGCCGUCCUAUGUCGGUUUCAUUUAAACGUCGGGAAAACCCCCGCCCUACACUUACAAUUUCUGAUAACAUCGCGCUCAUCAUGCCUCAGUAUUCUUGUAAUAAAAGUCACUAACCUCCAACGCCAACACCAGUAGCAGGAAUGCAACCUAUCCGGGCAAAUUGUUAAGUUUCCUAGUAACCACUGUUGUUCCCAAAGGCCUGCGGGUUACAAGUAUUUCACACAAGCGCUUCGAUGCAAAGCAAUAUGGAUGAGGUCGUGAGCGACUUAGGAAACCGACACACUGAUCUCGAAACAGGUCACUAACGCAUGAAGAAAAAUAUGACUUUAUUUUAAAAUCCUUUCUCACGUCGAUGAGUUAUACUGCAUUGGCUGCAGUAUGUUCGUGGCGAUUGCACUGACAGCGACUUGGAACGACAGGACAAUGUCUAUUAUACAGAUAUCACGAAUGCAUUCGCCUGAACAAACUGAGGAGAGCCACGAUAACUCUCACAAAAAACACAGAGCUUCCAACGUCGAAAUCGUACCUGCAAAUACAAAACAGCAGAACUGGCAAUGCAGGCGCGAAGUUCCUUUGCAAAGUAAUAAUUUAUUUAAUAUACUUGGUAUUAUUUCGAGUCAAGAAAUAUAUAAAAUAAUUCAAGAACCCUGAGGUGUACGUGUGAGCAAAACAGACAAGAUAUACGAGUAUUUAGCAGUGCCGGAAAACGCUUAUCGGAAAACUUACCUAAACAUGGCUGUAAACAACGGGUAUCCUGUUUUAGGGGAACUCCAUUUCUUUAUCUCUCACCUUCGUCUACAAAGCUUUUAUAUGAGGCUCGGAGUCCCAUUCUGAAUCAGCCGAAGCUAACUUCUGGCCAGAAGAUGAAGAACUUCCAGACCCUGCUACUUGUUGCCGCAUCGGGACUGCUGCUGCUUGUCGAUAUCGUGAGCAGCAGCCCAAUAUUUUGUUGGCCUGGACCUCACAGGCAAAAUCUUGGGCCUGGACCUGUCAUAAUUCCCGGGCGAACUUUUUGGCCUCUACCUAUCAUAUGUCCUUCUUCAGCACCUACUGAGCCUGACAUAACUAUCAGGCCUAUUCUCGGGCCUGGGCCUGUCCAACUUCCUUCUUCUACACCUGCCUGACCUGUCCACUUCCGGUGGCCCUACCGCAAGGACAGCUCUCAGUACCACAGCACCUGGACUCGGCACUCAGCCUAGCGACAGCUCCGCCAACAUGGUUAACAUUCUUGCAGACUGCGCACGCGCACUGCACUUCACUCAAGUAGCGGCACACUGUGGUUUCGUGCAAUGGGAAUGUGUACUGCAUUAAAAGCACUGCAAGUAUAGAUAUAAAUGGUGUACAACAAGUAUAAUUUUAGAAACAAAACUAUAUUAAAUUCUUGAAGAAAUUAAAAUUACAUUCUAUAAAUUCAG